GUACUUUUUUUAGUAUGUGAUGGUACUCUUUUUUUCUUUUUUUUUUUUUCAUAACUUUAUCACCACCUUCAUAUAGGCAAAAUUUAAGCCAACAAGGAACGUGUUACAGAUGAUCAAAACCACUUGAUUAACCUACUCACUAACAAAGAACACAUAAUAUUAUGUAGUCUAUCGAACAUUUCAAGGAACACAGAUAUAAAUAAGAUAACUUAAAAACAAUCGCUAAAACUAGUUGUACAUGAACCUAAAUUUAGCAGCAUUUGCUGUUUGCAGCUAUAGAAUCGAAAAUUCAACAUGUGAAGGUAUUAAUCCCUCGAGCUGUUGCUUGGCACAAAAUCUAGCUAACUUUUCCUGCUUCUUUUCCCUGCGCGUUUUGGGCGAAUUGACUUUACGUGGAUCACGAGGGUCAAUUGUAAGUUUCUCGACGACAAUAGCAUUGUCGAGAAAGUAUUCAACAAGUUUUAGUUCACUUCUGCGACCAUAGUAUCCAAGUAACUCGACCUCUUUCAGAUGUUGGAGCGGAAAGCUGGCAGCUUUCUUCAACUUUCUAUCUCCCCUAACCAUAUCAUUCCACCAUGAUUCCAACUUCAGCACAAACUUCUCCAAGCUGGGCGAAGGCCUGAUCAAAGAAGUAAAUCCAAUCAAACUGUCAUCUUUUGAUGCAAAAGCUAUUAAGACGAACUCUUUCAGAUUGGUAAGUUGAGGAAGCUCAUGAACAAUUCCGUUUUCCUGUGAAACUUGAAGCUCUUUGGCACGUAAAGUAAGAAUCUCUAGUUGUGACAAGCAGCAAAAAAGCCAAGAAAUAACAUCCCUAACCAAGAAACCCAUAUGAAGAGGUGAUUUCUGGUUUGGUGAGCUGUGCCGACCAGUUGGGGAUUUCUUCCUAAACGGGGUGCAGCUACCUCAAGAAUCACAUGCUAAGAUUACAAGAGACGGGGCUAUGUCUCCCCGAUUCUCCUCCGACGGUCUAGUUAGUUUGGAUAAGAGUCAAAGUGGAGGGAACUAUUGAAAGUGAUUCUUACAGAAUAUUCAGUUGCAGAAUAUUCAGUUGGGCCCUUCUGAGCGAGGGGUUUUGAUAUUUAUAUGAGACAACUUGGAGGGAAGGAUAGUGGGAUCCAAGUUUCCAAAAUCUGACUGAGAUUGAGCGUAUCAGCUUGAUUUGACAAAUCAGUGCAGUAGAUAAGUCCUGUCAGAUGUCACGUUCAUCCUGUAGGUAUCAGAAUCUUGGACAUGACCUCAGUUGUCAUGUCAGACAUAGUGCCAAACGAAGAUGAGAGUAAAUGUAGGAGCCAUCUCUGUCAUCCAUGUGCAGCGUGUAACCGAGGUGACUAGAAUGGAUAAGGGCUAUCCCCAGAGGUGAGAGGAUUAUUUAGGUACGACUGAGCCGAUGUGACCAUUAUAAACGUCCAUAGGCAGGUAGGAGGGCUUGGCUUGGUAAGCCGAGCCGGGAUGACCAUCCUCACCAUACAUUCACAAGCAUGGGGACAUUGUGAAGUAAAAGAUGAUGUGCUGCAGUAGUUUUAAGGGAGACUAAAUUUGUGUCGCUGACAAUAAUGGAUUGUAACCUCAAACAGCUGCAUACCUCCAGAUAUUUCAAGGCAAUAGAUGGACCACAAACUCGAAGGUUGAUCAAAACUGAAGAGCCCCCCACUACCAGGCGCUCAAGAAAUGGACAGUCGAUAAAGAAAAAUUCUAGUACCUCCACAGUUACAUUCAAACUUUUCAAACUCAAUGCUCUAAGGGACUUGAAGCCAAUCUGUGCAUGAUGAUGGAUUUCAGGGUAACCAGGUUGAGAUUUGCCACUGCUACAGCGAAGAAAUUCAUGAUAAAAAGUAUAUGAUUCUGGAGAAGAAGGCGGGCUAUCAUCUGGAAACAGGUCCAAUUCUAGCCUUUGCACUCUCCUUGCAAAUGCAUGCUGAAGCCAUUUAUGAGUCUCAUCUCCAUAAAAAUUGUCCAAAUAAAAAGCAACUCUCAAAUAAUCUAAUGCCAAAGACUUUGUCUGGUUGGAGCAGCACCUUGUCAACCCAUUCAAUAUACUUACGCCUUUCCUUUAUAACAAAGUCCAGAUACCUUGCCCCGUUGCGCAUUGAGACCAUCUUCUUUAGCACUUUCGAAGCAUCAAAAUCAAGGCAAGCCAUAGACCUCCACAGAUCUAUCCAACGCUAUGAAAGAACACUUGUUCUGGCAGCUUCUUUUGGCGUUAAACAAGACAGAAUAUAAACGAGGAUUUCAUCCGGAAGCUGACUAAGCUGAUCCUUGAGGGGCUGCCUUGUCUUUGGACACUUCCUCGGUCCAAAACCAGUGGCAAGUAUUGCCCUUGAUUCCAUCAAGAUCAAAAUUUUCUGCUACCUUUCCCCUGCUGCAGCCCACCAUCGAGCCAGGGGAGAUAAGUACAACCACCGUUCUAAAUGCCCGGUAUCCACUACUCAAAUAAUUAGGUAAUAGCUUUUUAUAAUAUUCAAAGGUACUUUUUUUUAUUUUCAUAAUGCUUCUUUUUAUAUUUUACGGUGCUAAUACCAUAGAUUAAUGAUCCAUUGAACACCAAAACACAUUUAACAAUUUAUUUGACGGUAAUGGACUUAUAAAAUCGGUCUCUUACAACUAUUCCAUGAUCACUAACAUAACUACUAUAUCCCAUUUAAUAUAAAAAGUUUUUACUUGUUUAUUGCGUUUUAAUUUAUAUUGACAUAAUCAACAACAUAUAAUAUAAUUUUUUAAUAAUAUUAUAAACUUUUAGUUUUUAUUUUUGUUAAUACAAAAUAAAAUUGCUAUUACCUUCUCAUAUAUGAAAUAAUAUCAUAUGAAUUUCUUAUAGUUUACAGUACUUCCUUUGUGCCCACGGAUCUUAUGGCAUUGGCAUUAAAAAAUAUAAUUAUUUUUUGAAGAAACAAAUUAAUAGUUUAUUUUGUUACUUUGAUAUCCUACAUGAUAAGACAUAGAUCUUUAUCCCCCAUCCACCAUGGAUGGAGUAGCUCAUGUGAACCAAAAAAGAACAAAAAAACUAUAGAUCUAUCACACAAAAUGAUAAUCAUAAUCUAUUAUAGCAGGUUGCCAAGUAUUUGGGAGGAAAUUUACCAUGUAGCAAACUCCAUAUGACCAAACGAUGUGGCAUCUAUGUAUUGGAUUUGUAUUGAGGGAAUGACUUCCCUUGAAAACACAUAUGGUACUGUAGAAUUUCCCAAAAUAUAGAUGUACAAGAAGGAAAUACAGUGACAACUUGACUUCCAAGUUCAUAAUGUGAUUCGAGUAAUUUCUAAGCUGAAGCAGCAUUAAAUCCGCCUCCUAAACCACAACCUGAAACAUUCAUGUUUCUUUUUCUCUUUCUUUUGUCAAAACAUUAUAGAUCGCGUAAUGAAGAUAAGCAAAAAAUGACAGAACAAAACUGAAUGAAGACAACCCCUUUCUGAGUCUGUUCGAUGAAUAUGAAAUGAUAACUCAUCCAGCCCCUAUUUGCUGAAUUCAUAGACGUUGCACAGUACUUGCCAAUUUAAUCGCUCUCGGAAAGCAGGACAAACAGCUCCUCAUCAGUGAUUGCUCCCAUUUCCAUAGCUCUUUCCAAAGCACUAAGGCCUCCAGCAUCCCUUAUUGAUGCACGUGCACCUCUGAAGAACAUACAUGUUAAUAUACCACAUGAUAGUGGAAACAAGGAUAUAAUACCACCUUCAAAUUUGAAAACAAUUACAAAGAUUUCUACAGAUGCAAAAACACAAACGAGAUUUUUAUGGCUACCAUUCAUGUUAAUGCUGAAGUCAACUGCUCCAGCUGCAGGUUAAUUAACAAGGGACAUUCAACAUGGCUGGGAACCUAUAUUGGGAGAACAUAAACAAUAGACGAAAAGUUUUUAAGCGCUAGCCAAAACUAGAAGUUUCUUAUGACUUUAUACUUCAGGUCUAGAAGAAUCUCAUUUUCUGUAAGUUACAGUUGGAAAAGGAUGAAUGACCAGUCUGAGGUUUCCAAACGCACAGGAAGUAAAAGAUAAGAAAUAAUGUUUGAACGUUGGAAAGCAGAAUACUAGUGCAUUGAGAAGAUUGGCAACAUAUUCUUAACAUGUUCAGGUUUAAAAGGCUAACCAUGCAGAAAUAAAGAAGUUGGACAUAAUUAUGAGACAUUAGACCAUCCUGCAAUUGAAAUCAAACAUCCGAGCUACAACACUACGUAGCACAAAAUUCUUUAUGGUCCAGAAAGAGACAAAUAGAACUAGCAUAGUUGGAUAACAGUUCAUAGAAAGUCAGACCAGAAAAUCCAUUAGCUUCUCAAAGAGGCAAUAAAUUGCCCUUCCGCUUAACAAGUCCUUCGUCGUGUCUUGGGCCUCAAAAAAAUCUAACCAAUCUCAAUGAAAUUUUACUUCAAUUAAAAGAAUUUAUAAUGGAAGCUAGGGCAUAAUGUAUAUUUGAUUCAAUAGCUUUGCUAAUUAAUGAUGCUACCAGAAAACCUGUAUGGGUAACCUCUAUCUUAAAGCAGGACAAACUUAUCUUGCUUAAAACUUCAUAAAGAUAGAGCCAUUCCGGAAUAUUAGUUAUUCCAAUUAAGGUUCUCUCCUUUUCUGCUUUCAUAUCAUUUUGCGUCUCCAAUUUUAUUUGUGUAGUUGGCUCCCUUAAUUAUGAAGCUGAUGGAUAUAGAAGGAUCAGGCUGGAAACAAAUCAACCAGCAAUCAAUGAGUCACCAUUUAUUUCAGCUCGAACCCAGCAUAGUGAUUAAUGUAUUGCACUAUCUAAGAGAAAAGAGAACCAAAACACAGGCACUGAACCAAAAUGAGCAAUAAUUUUGAAGCAGGCUGCCAGAGAAUUAAAACCAAGCAUUUGGUUCAAACACUAACAUACAGAUUAGGUUUAGAAUGCGACCUGUACUAAAAUGGCAUCUGAUGAUACUCAUAAAUGUCUAAACCUAUGCUUUAUCAAGUCCCUGUAUACUAUAAAGAUGCACAGAACCACCAUAAUACUUCAAGAGGCUAAUAAGAAAAGAUUCUAAAUCAGCCUGUGGCAAUCCCAAAACAAAGUUCUACUACAUGACAUAAACCAAAAACAGAAAAGGGUUUAGAAAAAGAAGUAGAGCUGUUUGUUUUAUGUUAUCCAUGUUUAGUCUCUGAAGCAAUCUAAAAAGCAAAUCCUAGUGGUCCAAUCCAUCAACAAGCAAAAGUCUCUCUCAAAAGAAAAUCCAUAAAGGAACAUAUUGUCCCAAAUAGCAAGAGAUGUGUUCUCGAUGCAAAACAUUCUGUACCGUUUUAUCAAAGAAAAAUGUGCAAGAAAACUGUGUUACUUUAGGGUGCGUGUUUCGGAUUUUGAAUGCAUCAUCAAUUUAAGGUGUAAUAAAUUUCUAACAAUAACUCUCAAUGAAAUUACUGCUGAUGCACAACACUAAUACCCCUUUGCAUUGAUCUUUCAGCUUCUUGUCCAGCACAUUGACAUCAAAUUCAUUUAUAUAGAUUAAUGAUAGGCAACCAAUCAAAACAGAGAAAACCAAUUUCUGCAUUUCCCUCUUCCUCCCUGACAACCUCCCUUCCAGACUGAAAGUGCAAUAUAAAGAAAGCAUCAAUUGACAAGAGUUGUAUCUUUUGUUUCUUUUUGGCUCAGGACUCAUAGAGAAUUAUUUUUCUUCUCAUUUCUGAAAUGCAGCAAUAAGUAAUAUCAUUUUUUUUUUCGAGUUAAUAAUAGUAACAGAAGAGUUACCUUCUAAGCAACAACUUUGCCAGAUGGCUGUUCCCCCUGGCUAUACAGUAUUGCAAAGGAGUUCUUCCAUGGAAAUCACACCAGUUUAUAUCAGCACCAAACUGCAGUAGCAGUUCCAGCAUUACUGCAUUGCCUGUGUGGCAGGCUAGAUGCAGCAAGGAAGAUCCCUGAAGGCAAUUUCCAGCUUCACUAGAAGACUUCAAACAAUCUACUGGAUGAUAAUUUUUCUCUUCAAAAUUGCUGGAGCCUUGUUCGGGGUCCCCUCUCUGAACAUUAUGAUACAGAUUGGCACCAGCUACCUCAUCAUAGGUUGAGUUGAUAAUAUUUGCAUUUGACACCACGAUUAAUCUAUAUACUUCUUGCAAAUUGUUGUCCAACACUGCUUCCCAGACUCUAGUGGCUAGAGAGUGAUUACUAGAGGUAGUAGCCUCUUUAUUCAGGAAGAGUUUUUCAACGUACUGAAGAAAAGACCACAGUUAUGCUUUGUUAAUAGAUCAUUGAAUCACAGUGAAAUAUUUCACUACAACAAUAAAAAAGAACGAUCAUUUAUAUCACAUUAGCUGUAAAAAAUUUGCAGCACUUGGAAAUGAGUUCCAUAUCGACCAAUCUUAAAUCAUGACCAAAAAAAAAAGAAAAAAGAAAUAUGUAAUGAAACAGCAAGUGCAAGAAUUUUAUCUUGAUUGAAAGCCAAAAUAAUCUAGAAAUGCUAAAAAAGAAAAGGAAAAAGUUCGGUUCAUAAUUCCAAAAGAAUGUCUUGAAAUGGUCAAUGGUUUGUUAAUUUUGUUGAAGUGUGAUGACAACUUCUAGAUUUUCUAAACAACACGAUGAUCUUCAAGAAUAAGAAAUUCAGUACUACUUGGGUAAGUUUUAUUUCUGCCCUAUCUAUGUCUCCUUUUUUUUUUUUGGCUGUUUGCUUUUCCUUUUCUAGGUUGGGAAGGACCAUAAAUCCCUAGAUCAAAAGGAUGAUACCAGGAGAAGAUAGCAGAUUCAUCAAUAAAAUGCUGAAGAUAUCAUGUAAGCUAGGAGAAUGAAACAUCAACUCUAAGCGUAACCAGGAUUUCCUGUCUUGGCAAUUAACUGACUGGAAUAAUAGGUAUAGGUCAGAACCUAGCUAUAGAAAGAAGUUGGGGAGAAGCGCCAUCACUGAGGCAAAGAUCCUUAGCUGGGAAGUGAUUGCUUUAAAGUGGAUAAUCAAUUCACUUUGCACAAGUUGCAAAGGUAGGUAGUCAUGGAAUUUUAAAAAUUAACUCUUAGUAAAACUUUUUAAGAAUUGAGAUUAAUGUCAGAUGACAAUUUUGAGCAUGGUAGAGAGAAACAAAUAAAAAAAACAAACUAAAAUGGAAAAAAUAUUUGACUAGUGCUGCCUGUUGUAGGACCCAAUUUGGAAUUUGUAAUGUUAACUGUUAAGAGAAUAUAAGUAUUCUUGUAGAUAAUAAAUUAGUAAGGAUAUUCUUGUAUAUAGUUUGUUAGGUUUGUAUUUCUAUAAAUACUAGUUGGUCACUCAUAAUACGGUGAUUAGAUGUUUUCCUCUUAAAAUACCUAUUUUCAUGGUAUCAGAGCUAAAGUCCUAGAGUUAGGGUUAAACAUCUAGCAAAAGUCUUGUUCACGUGAUACUAUUCAUUGAGCACUGUUCACGCGGCACUGUUUAUCUCGAGUUUUGACCUUUUUUUGGUUUGAAGUGCUAUUCGCUAUGGCUGAAAGUUUAUCAAAAGGUAUCGUGAUGUCUACUAAUAUUAUGCCAAUGGUGAUGCAUCAAAUAACAAAUUGGAAGUUAAAUGACACUAAUUAUCAACAGUGAUCAAAAACCGUUAAGAUUUAUCUGACAGGCUUAGGAAAGCAACGAUAUCUCACAGAUGACUCUCCUAUGAAGGACAACAAGAGACUAAUGUGGAUUCAAAAGGAUGCCCAAAUUCUUGGAGCGAUUUGGAAUUCUAUGGAGCCACGAAUUGGCUUACAUGUGUUCUCAUUGUGAGACAACAAAAGAAGUUUGCAAUUAUGUCCGAUUAUUAUACUGCAGUAAUCUUUCACGGAUGUAUAAUAUUUCUUUGGAGUAUUUUCAGUUGCAACAAGAUAACAAGACAGUAACUGAAUACUUUGCUGAUCUUAAGCGAGUUUCAGAAGAAUUAAAUGCUGUAAUGCCUCUCUUAAGUGAUAUUACAAUUAUGCAGAGGCAAAGAGAACAAAUGCUUGUGCUCAAAUUCUUGGUUGGCCUCAAGUCAGAAUUUGAACAAAUCAAAUCUCAAAUUUAAGCAAGUGAACAAUUACCAUCAUUUGCAGAAGCGUAUGCUCGGGUCUUACGUUCUGCAUCUAAGGACAAUGCAUAAGGUGAUGGUGCUCUAAUUAAUGACAAAUCUGCUUUUGUUGCUAGCAACAAUCGGAUGGAGCAACUUAAUUUUAGACGUGACCCUCGUGGAGGAAGAAGUAGAGGAGGUCGUGGAGAUCGUGGAGGUCGAGGUAUCUGUGAGUGCACUCAUUGUGAUUUAAAAAAUCACACUCGUGAUGCUUGUUGGAAUUCAGUUGGAAAACCUCCUCAGUUUGCUAAUGCAGUUAUCACUGAUCAAGCUGAAUCAAGUUCUUCAACACAAGGGUCCCAAAAGACUUUUACCAUAUCCGAGGAAGAUUAUGUCAAAUUUCUACAGUACCAAACUGCAAAUCACACAUCCCCUCUCUGCAUCUUUAGCACAAAAAGGUAAUGCUAUGGCUUGUCUCUCCACAUCUUCUAAUUUUGACUCAUGGAUUAUUGAUUCUAGAGCUACUGAUCAUAUGUCAGGUACCUCUAAAACUUUUUCUAAUUUUCAAGAGUCUACUUCCUUCCCUCAUGUUAUUUUAGUUGAUGGAUCUACAACUAAAGUUAAAAAACUAGGCACUGUAGAAAUUAACCCAUCUCUUCCGCUAUCUUCUGUUCUUUACGUACCCAAUUUGAUUUUUAAUCUAAUGUCCGUUAGUAAGCUUACUAAAUUUCUACAGUGUUCAGUUAUUUUUCUCCUGAUUUUGUUGUCAUUCAGGAUUUGAAGACAAAGAAGUUGUCAUUCCUGAUUUUGAGGACGAUUGGUGGAGGGCAUGAGCAUAAUGGUCUUUAUUUUCUCAAUUCCAAUGGUCCGAUUGCGUGUCCUGCUACUAUUUCUCAUCUUGAAAUUCACUGUCGUUUGGGUCAUCCGUCUGUACAAAAUUUAAAGAAGUUGAUUCCUACCUUGAGUCAGUUGUCUUCAUUAGAAUGCGAGUCUUAUCAAUUAGGAAAGCAUCAUUGUGUUUCUUUUGCGCCUAACGUCAAUAAACGGGUUUUGAAACCCUUUUUGUUAAUUUAUUCUGAUGUUUGGGAUCCUAGUCAAGUCACUUCAAAGUUAAGUUUUAAAUAUUUUGUAAUCUUUGUUGAUAAUUUUUCCAGAGUUACAUGGUUUUAUUUAAUAAAAGAUCGUUCAGGACUAUAUUCCAUUUUUUGUGCAUUUGUUGCAGAAAUAAAGAAUCAAUUUGGUGUACGUAUACUUCGCAGUGAUAAUGUGAAAGAAUAUUUUUUCACUCUUUUUGAUACCUUUAAGACUAAGUGCGGUAUUCUUCAUCAGUCCUCUUGUCCCCACACUUCACAACAGAAUGGAGUUGCUGAAAGAAAAAUUGGACAUUUAAUCGAAGUUGCUCGAACACUUUUGUUGUACAUGAAUGUACCCAAACAAUUUUGGAGUGAUGCAGUUUUAACUGCAUGUUAUUUAAUUAAUCGCAUGCCAUCCAAUAUUCUUGGAGGCGAAUUACCUCACUCCAUUCUUUUUUCUCAUGAACCUAUAUUUAAAUUACCUCAUUGUAUUUUUGGAUGUGUGUGUUUUGUUCAUCAGCUUGCUUCCGGGGUGGAUAAAUUAGAUCCUCGUGCUAUUAAGUGUAUUUUCUUAUGGUACACACGAGCGCAAAAAGGGUAUAAAUGUUGCAGUCAAGUUUUAAAUUGUUUUUUUUUUUACUUGUGUUGAUGUUACUUUCUUUGAAUCCACUCCUUAUUUUAUGAAACAAGGUAUGUCUUGUAAGUUAAACCAGUGUUCCUCUUUUCCUUCUCCUGUUUUAUCAGUCCCUUCAUCUUUAUUACCUGAGUUAUCUAGUCCACCAGAUUACACAACUCGAUUAUCUCGUCCUAAUUUUCAAGUUUAUUCUCGUCGUUCCGUGGUUGAGAAAGCUGAUAUGCCACGCACUUCACCAAUUAAUUCUCAAUUUUCAAAUCCAGGUAUGACGCCCUCCUGUGAGUCAGAUCUUUCUAUUGCUUUACGCAAAGGUAAGAGACAUUGUAUUUCUCAUCCUAUUUCUAAUUUUGUUUAUUAUUCUCGUCUCUCUCUAUCAUAUUCUUCUUUCGUUACUUCCUUUGAUUCUAUAUCUAUUCCUAAAUCUAUUACUCAUGCUCUCAAUCAUCCUAGUUGGAGAUUAGCUAUGCAAGAAGAGAUGUUUGUUUUGAAGAAAAAUGAUGCUUGGGAUCUUGUCCUUCUUCCUUCUGGUAAGUGGAUUGUUGGUUGUAAAUGGGUGUACACUAUAAAAGUGCAGCCUAAUGAUUCUAUUCAUAGAUUCAAAACUUGUCUGGUAGCUAAGCGAUUUACUCAAGUGUAUGGAAUCGACUACUUAGAAACAUUUUCUCCUGUAGCAAAGAUUGCCUCUGUUCAUCUUCUUAUCUCUUUGACAGCAACUUAUACAUGACUAUUGCAUCAGUUGGAUGUGAAAAAUGCAUUUCUACAUGAAGAUUUGGAAGAAGAGAUAUAUAUGGGGCCAUUCAGUUGGAUGUGAAAAAUGUGUUUCUACAUGGAGAUUUGGAAGAAGAGGUAUAUAUGGAAUAACCUCCUGGAUUUGUUGUUCAAGAGGAGAAUUCGUUGUUGGUUUGUCAUCUAAAAAAAUCCUUAUAUGGAUUGAAACAGUCUCCGAGGACUUGGUUUAGCUAAUUUGUUUAUCAAGAGUUUAGAGAGCUCUAGGGUGAAAUAUAUUUGUAACAAGUUAGGUGCUUAUGAUAUAUAUGCUUCAACUUGAGGGGGAGUGUUAAGAGAAUAUAAGUAUUCUUGUAGAUAAUAAAUUAGUAAAGGUAUUCUUGUAAAUAGUUUGUUAGAUUUGUACUCCUAUAAAUACAAGCUGAUCACUCAUAAUUCGGUGACUAGAUGUUUUUCUCCUAAAAUACCUGCUCUCAUUAACCAUAUAAUACAAAACUUUAUACUUCCGACCUACACGUACAAGAAUGCAAGUAGACAAUUUUGACUUGAGUUCAAGGAAAGGAUAAGGGGCAAAUUGGUUCUGUGACUGAUGCACAAAAAUAAAAGAAUUAAACCACCAUUAUGGCUACCCCGGAAGAAGUAUAGACAUGAAAAGAUAAAUCUGUUGUCUGAAAGUAAUUUAUGCUAAAUUAUUUUAGUCUCUACUACAGAUUAUCUAUUACUAGUGGGAAAGGCACAAACUAUGUGUGCGCACAUUAAAAAAAUUCGUAACACAUAAAAAAUUUGUUAAAUAAAAAGAUAUUAAUUAGUUGGUGAUUAUUUGAAAUCUUAUUGGGCUUAUAAAUGGGAAUGUACUUUUUUUUAACAAGAAAGGAGGUUAUUGACGCUUUUCGGAAAUUUUAUUCUAGUUCUAGUUGUAAAAGUGAGAGAGACCAUGUAACAGCGUUGCUUAAUCAUGGGGUAUGGAAGAUGAGAUGUAUAGUGCUCCAUCAAGCAAAGGUAAAAUUGGGAUAACAAAUAAUGACAGAAUUUUUUAACACCAAACUCAGAACAAAAGGUUCUUGAAUAUAGCAAAGACAAAUCAGAAUCUUCAGUCCAAACAGGAAUGUAGUUUAUGUGCCAGGAGAUAUAAAGACAUACCUUAGCUUGAAUGAACUUCUCUUUUUGAUGAGUGACAUCUUUAUUACUUGGUUUGGAAAUUGAUGGGAAUGAAUUAGAUCCUUGGCUGCUGUGGAGCGAAAAAGAUGUCAGUAAAACCGAUGACUACAGGUAUUGUAGACAGACAGAUACAGGGGGAGACAGACAGAGACGUGCGCACGCACGCACACACGCAUGCAGAGUUUGUAGAAGACUCUUUCGCUAACAAUAUUAAACUCAUUGCAAUUACAAAUGAAAAUAUUAUAUCCUCUUCUCAUCGAGCAAUAGCAUACCAUAUAUCAAAUUUUAAGUAGCAACAAACUCCAGUAUCUUACCCAUCAUUCUGAGGUAAAAGCAGUUCCUCCCAGAUAGAGUUACAGUAUGUAUUACCCAAAGCUUGAAACAAAUCCAAGACUGUAGGUUCCCAGACCUUAACAUCCAGAUUUAUGGAUCUCACCUGUAAUUUGAUAAAAGAAUCUCUAAAUAUUUCUUAUUCCAAAGCUGUAAAAACUACUUAGCUAUCACUUUCAAAUUCAAUCAUUGUGAAAGCAAGCUUGGGAUUUGAUGUCUGUGUAAUCCUAAAUUAUAUGUCUACCAGGUACCGCAACUACAUCUUUUACUAAUUUGACAAAAGGUCAUCCAUAAAACCAAAAUGCACUUUGGAACCAUAGGUGCAACAAAGCUCGUGUAAAUUUUUAUCUAAUUUUGUGCCAUUGUGAAGUGAUCAAAUUCAAAAUUAAAGAGCCAUGUACUAGGAAUUGGUACAAGAAUAUACUGAAUAUAGACAAAACAGAGUCUAAAAAUUUGGCAUUAUCAGAUUCCUAGAACCUUCAAUCAAGGGACUGAUGUAGGCUAGUAAAAGAUGCAACUCAGAUUUGGAGCCCAUAUAACAGCGACGACAAAAUCAACCAUAUAGAACACAGACAUUUAUGUCAUAGAUUACGACUUGAUGACACAUAAACGUCUGAUUUUUGGGUAUUGCAAAAGCAUUUUCAGUAUCGAAUCUUAUCCAACUCUCAUGAUCCUGAUCAAGUCAAAAUCUUAUAUUUUCUCAAAAGCAGACUACAGGAGAGCCCCAUCAUCCAGGAAUUGUAAGGAAACCACUUAAGAAUUUUUAUGUCAUCCCAGAAAGUCAUGUACAGGAAAUGCCCCAAGUGUUGUCAAGGUAAUAUAUGGUAGAACUAGACACAGUGCCAUAGCUGCACGUAUAUACUUUUUUGCUGUCAAAGUAUGCCUAACAAGGUUGGUGUAAGUAAAAAUAAUCCUCCAAUUCAGGCCAUAAACAUCCAAGCGGCUAAUGGAAAUUUGGAAUUUAUUUACGUGAUUGACAAAUGUAUAAAUGUUAAAGAUGAACCAGCAAGGAUGUUAGAACUUUGUAACAUGAAAAUCUUUCUCAGCAUACAGGGAAUGUGAAUUCAUUUUGCUUCCUAGCACUUAUUUUGACAAUAGAAAUAUUCCUCUGACUUGUACAGAAGAGAAGGAAAUUGUCAGCUUGCACCAUAAGGUGCUAGGGAAAAAGCAAAAAAUUUGAGAAAUUAGAUGCAACACAGGACAAUAAGGAUGAACACUGGUUUGGCAAGCCGGUAAUUUUUUGCUUAAAUAGUUAAAAAUGCCCAAGAAUUGUCAUAUUUAUUGGAACCUAAGAACAACCCUUGUAAUGGUUGAACCACAGAAGAGAUCCCUAUAACUCUGCCAAAGUUUCUAAAGGACUAUAAUCUCUACAAUUGCCACAUAUAUUAUGCAUCCAUGCAAACUAAAGGCCAACUUAAGACAAGCCUUAGCUAAAUUUUUGUUUUCUUAUUAGUUCUAUGCCAUUCUGUUAAGGAAGUAAGGUGCUUUUCUAAACACUGAUAAUGGACUGCUACUGUUCAAUAAAGUGCACAACAAAUUUUAUAACGUACAACAGAGAUAGUUCAAUGCUAUCCGUAAUGCCUGUUGUUCACUGUAAGUAUCAAGUCAUAGGAUUUUCACAGGUGAAUCUUUGUUUCUACGGCUGCUAUUGAAGCCCCAGUUUAUUAUGAAUCCUCAGAUCCAUCAGCUUAACUACCUUCUCCAACUACUUUACCAUCAAAAACCCCUCAUAUAACCAGAAAGCUACAUUUAUAUUUAACAUAUAAUUCAGAACGAAAUUAAUUUAAAUCUAGCAAGAAAUCAACAGUCACUGAAGAAAGCAGUAAUUAAAUGUACCUAAACUGAAACGGUGAAUUUUAAACAUGUUGUUUCCUCGUGGUAGAAAAAUUUUUAACUGUAGCAUUAAUUUACUUGAAAAGUUUAAUUUUGCUGAAUGUGAAUGAAGAGACUCAACAGUCUAGAUAGGUGAUAGAGUAAGCCAAGACUAUACUAUUCACAAACUAUAACUUAAACCUAAAUCUUUCACAUUAAACAACAGUAACAAACUUCAAAUCAACUGUUGCCUGGAUAUUACUAUCCAAAAUCUGGAACUUUUACAUGAUAAGGAGUAGCCACUUAAAAAGAAUAGUUCUUGCAAUUUUUUUUAUUUGUACAGUUAACCUAAAAGUAGGUUAAGCAAUAUCAUAUAAGAUGGAUUUGGAUGCUAAAAUACUGUCAGUUUUUUUUUUUUUUUUCAAUUCUUAGGAGGUGCCUUGUAAUCCUUCUAACCCCGUCCACCGACCACAACAAUCUUUUCCUUAUUUUACGUGCUUCAAUAAAAUUCUUUCUCCAGCCUCAUAUCUUCCAUGAAGUACUUCCUCUAUUCAAAACUGUUGUUCACCUAAGGGAAAAUUCACUUUUUAUCAGGAGUAAGCUACUACAGGCUAAUUUUCUGGUUUUCUCCAAUUCUAGCCAUAGACAAUCUGAUCAUAAAUCCACGUGGAUGGGAUCAGAAGAACGCAUGUGAACUGAAAUUACAAGUGAGGCCUACUCAGCCUGGAAUACUAUGCUGGAAUUAAGAGGGUGUAAUGCCCUAUGGCAGUAUGCAGAGAAUAUACAACCACUUGUGCUAACAACAAAAAUUUUAGGUUAGUCCAAAUAGAAAGCAUGACUAUGAAUGGGAGGAGGAAUUACAUUACGACACCAAAAUAAUAUCUCUGUACAAUAAAACUAAUUUCCAAGAUCAAGACAAACAUGUAGCAUGAACAUUAAUUUUGUGAAAAAUAGGGUGUGGAAUUAUUUCUAAUUGAUCUAUUUACAAGAAACUCGAAACAAUUUAAGUUUACAAGGGAGUUUUCAAUUUUUAAAGUAGCUCUUUAGUAGCAAUCUAUUUACUAACCCAACACCACGUAUCACAGUUGCUGCUCUCUCUCUCUCACAAGCUCCUCCGGCUCAACAACCAACCAACCCACAUUAAAAAAGCAGUACGUAUGGCAGAACCACCAUGCCCUCCACUAGUACUAUUUUUGUCAAUAAAUGCUGUUUUGGACACUCAAAUAAGCAAUUGGACAAAAUAAAUUCAAGAAGACUGAUCUUCUUUAAUUAUGAAAUGUUUAUUUUUUGAACUUUGUUACUACCCAACACCACGUAUCACAGUUGCUGCUCUCUCUCUUUCUCACAAGCUGCUCCGACUCCCAACCAACCAACACACUUUAAAAAAGCAGUAUGUAUGGCACCAUGCCCUCCACUAGUACUAUGUUUGUCAAUAAAUGCUGUUUUGGACACUCAAAUAAGCAAUUGGACAAAAUGUUUAUUUUUUGAACUUUGUUCCUCACUGCAAGGUUCUGAUGUUUGCAGGGCUUCAGCAAACUUGAAGGGUAGAAUUCCUGGUUUUGUUGACAUGUUGUGCAAUGCAAAAGAAUACGAGGCUCUUUUAGUGAUGCAACCUUUUCCAUUAUGACCUGGCUCAAAAUUUCUAAAUGAAUUCCACAGUGAAUAACUAGAAUUUUAUAUCAGACAAUCUAGGAAGUUCGUGAGAAAAUCAUUAAUCC
rnacentral:lncRNA from 1 species